CACUUCGGCUUGCUAUUGAUUCAAAGUGCUGAGUUCUCUUAUUGCUGGAAACAAUUGUGUCGGAAAUGAUAUAUUGCAAUAUGGAGGAUGAAACAAGUCGAACAACCAAUGUCGCACCUCUGGCUCUUACUGAGUCUCUUGAUUGACUAGAGGGUUCCCUUUUUUCCUUAACAGUUUCUGGCUUUCUGCAAUGCUUGGAUUUUCAUCAUUGGGGUUAUAUAUGUCUUUGAAGUUGGGAGAUUUUGAAUAAGCCAUAAUGUACAUAUUUUUUACAAUUAGUUUGAAACUCAGUUGUAUUCGAUCCAUUGUUUAGUUUGUUAUUAAAAAUCUUCACAUCUCUUAUUAUUGCUAUUGUGA